AUUGAACGCUGGCGGCAUGCCUAACACAUGCAAGUCGAACGGCAGCACGGCAGUAGCAAUACUGUGGGUGGCGAGUGGCGGACGGGUGAGGAAUACGUCGGAAUCUGCCCAGUCGUGGGGGAUAACUAGCCGAAAGGUUAGCUAAUACCGCAUACGACCGAGAGGUGAAAGCGGGGGACCGCAAGGCCUCGCGCGAUUGGAUGAGCCGACGUCGGAUUAGCUAGUUGGUGGGUAAAGGCCACCAAGGCGACGAUCCGUAGCUGGUCUGAGAGGAUGAUCAGCCACACUGGAACUGAGACACGGUCCAGACUCCUACGGGAGGCAGCAGUGGGGAAUAUUGGACAAUGGGCGCAAGCCUGAUCCAGCAAUGCCGCGUGUGUGAAGAAGGCCUCGGUUGUAAG
rnacentral:rRNA from 1 species